rnacentral:miRNA from 13 species
CUGUACAGCCUCCUAGCUUUCC